rnacentral:rRNA from 1 species
UCCGGUUGAUCCUGCCAGAGGCCACUGCUAUCGGGGUUUGACUAAGCCAUGCGAGUCGAGAGGUGUAAGACCUCGGCGUACUGCUCAGUAACACGUGGACAAUCUGCCCUGAAGUGGAGGAUAAUCCCGGGAAACUGGGGGUAAUACUCCAUAGUUCGUGCUGACUGGAAUGUUAUGCGAACGAAAGAUCCGUCGCUUCAGGAUGAGUCUGCGGCCGAUUAGGUAGUUGUUGGGGUAACGGCCCAACAAGCCUGUCAUCGGUACGGGUUGUGGGAGCAAGAGCCCGGAGAUGGAUUCUGAGACACGAAUCCAGGCCCUACGGGGCGCAGCAGGCGCGAAAACUUUACCAUGCGGGCAACCGUGAUAAGGAAACCCCGAGUGCCAGCACAGGCUGGCUGUCCGCCAGUGUAAAUAACUGGUGAAGAAAGGGCCGGGCAAGACCGGUGCCAGCCGCCGCGGUAAUACCGGCGGCUCGAGUGGUGGCCACUAUUACUGGGCUUAAAGGGUCCGUAGCUUGAUAUGCAAGUCUCUUGAGAAAUCCGCCAGCUUAACUGGUGGGCGUUCAGGGGAAACUGCAUUUCUAGGGACCGGGAGAGGUGAGAGGUACUGCCGGGGUAGGAGUGAAAUCCUGUAAUCCCGGUGGGACCACCUAUGGCGAAGGCAUCUCACCAGAACGGGUCCGACAGUGAGGGACGAAAGCUGGGGGAGCAAACCGGAUUAGAUACCCGGGUAGUCCCAGCUGUAAACGAUGCGCGUUAGGUGCGUCAGUGACCACGUGUCACUGAGGUGCCGAAGGGAAACCGUGAAACGCGCCGCCUGGGGAGUACGGUCGCAAGGCUGAAACUUAAAGGAAUUGGCGGGGGAGCAC